GCCGCGAUGGCGAACCGCGUUGCCGGGCGGCGGCGCCGGUGAGACCAUGUUGUCGGCGCUGCGAGGCAUCACCGCAGCGUUGUCUGACAAGGCGGGUGCCCCGUCGUCACCGUCUGAUGACGCCGCGUCGGCAUCGCGCGGAAAAGUAAAGGGCGCCAACGUCGACGCAACUCCCCACACGAAAUCGCCUACGGCCGCCAGAGGGUUCCAGGGCGACGAUCCCAUGACGUCGCGUCGGUUUCGUUGAUCGUGUCUGUCGGCCAUGAGAGGCGUGGCUCUAUCGAUGCGCCGGGUGUGUAUGUGUAUGCGACGAAAAAAAAAAGUACAGGCAGUCGGAAAGGCGACAUAAAAAAGGAUGGACAAUCAAACAUCCGCGUUGCCGUUGGCGCGUUUUUCCUGUCUCUCUUCAUUGCGUGCUCGGGGCGUCUUUCUGUUGACCAGAAAAAAAAAGAAAACUCGGAAAAAAAGCCGACGGCAAACACUGGCG
rnacentral:lncRNA from 1 species